rnacentral:rRNA from 1 species
GACGAACCGAGCGAACGUUGUUCGGAAUUACUGGGCGUAAAGCGCACGUAGGCGGCUUUGUAAGUUAGAGGUGAAAGCCCGGGGCUCAACUCCGGAAUUGCCUUUAAGACUGCAUCGCUAGAAUUGUGGAGAGGAAAGUGGAAUUCCUAGUGUAGAGGUGAAAUUCGUAGAUAUUAGGAGGAACACCGGAGGCGAAGGCGGCUUUCUGGACCAUUGCUGACGCUGAGACACGAAAGCGUGGGUAGCAAACAGG